CAGGGAGACAACAAAAUGUUAAAUAUUAAUUUUGUCACCUUAGGUCGAUCGGUAUCUCACAUUCUUAAUUUAUUAAGGAUUUUAUUUCCUAAGUUUUUCUAGGUCACACCCAUUAUUUUUCCUGGGCCAUUAGCUCAGGUGGUUAGAGCGCACCCCUGAUAAGGGUGAGGUCCCUGGUUCAAGUCCAGGAUGGCCCAUAUCUCUAUGUUGGGGGUAUAGCUCAGUUGAUAGAGCGCCUGCUUUGCAAGCAGGAUGUCAGCGGUUCGAGUCCGCUUACCUCCACUGAUUACCACCUCUUCCAUAAUCGGUAGAAAGGAAAUUUUUUGAGUUGUGAUCAAAUUCUGAAAGAAUCUAGCUUCCUAAUGAAAUCAUUAAGAUGCUGGACUCAUUGAAUUAAUUUCAUUGUUUUCAGAGAACCUUGACAACUGCAUAGAUUAUUUUUUUUAAAGACAAUAAGCAUCUUUAAUGAUGCAGAUUUAUUAUUUGUGCAAAUGCAUUAAUAACAAUUCUAUUAAGCUGAUGCUUCAAUAUUUGAAGUUAUU
rnacentral:tRNA from 1 species